rnacentral:tRNA from 1 species
GUUUUUUGAGUAUCCCAGUACAUUUGCCUUCCAAGCAAAAAGAUUAACACCCGUUAAAAAAAACA